UGGCUUAGUGGUAAAGCGCUCGGCUUCCAAACCAGAGGUCCAGGGUUCGAAUCCUGG
rnacentral:tRNA from 1 species